GCUUACGGCCAAACCUCCCUGAGCACGGCCCCGAUCUCGUCUGAUCUCGGAAGCUAAGCAGGGUCGGGCCCGGUUAGUACUUGGAUGGGAGACCGCCUGGGAAUACCAGGUGCUGUAAGCC
rnacentral:rRNA from 1 species